rnacentral:snRNA from 1 species
ACUAUGGAAAGGAAGAGAGUAU